CGUAGGGCGGAGGCGGCGUUGCCUAUUGGCGGGGAGCACCCCAGAGCACCCCCCGCAGACACGGGCCCUGAGGCGUGUGCAGGCAGAAGCCACCCUAAGUGCAGAACCUUCUCUUCCUUCUCUGACAUCAGAGCCUGGUGUUCCAGAAGAGGACUGCUUAUAGAGAUGCUACAUUUGCUGAGAUAAGCUUGCAGAUAACCUGAAUGAGUGGCAGCUGAAGAGAAUUAGAAAGGAAAAUGGAUGGAAAAGAUUGUAUAUGCUGGUUCUCCGAGAUCAUUCUCUCCAUCACUACCACAGAUCGAAGCUGUGGCUCUGUCUUCCAACAUUUAAUCUUCGUGACCUGCAGUCACUCAUGGCUUCCUUUUGCUCCCUUGUAAAAUAGGGAAAAUGUCACUGAUGGUGACGUGAAUGAGUUCCUGAGACUUAACUGAUGUAAUAAUGCCUCCAAAAGCACCGUCCAAGCAGUACAGCUAGGCAGGAAAGGCAAAACUCAUGUUGUUUUAUUGUCAAGUCUGCUUUUACCAAAGAAAUCCAGAUGUAAGGCUAAGGACUGAAGUUCUUCCUGCAAAUAGUUUGAAGGAAUCCGAGUAUUCUAAAACUCACACUGGGAUAAUUUUCCUUUUCCUUUUCCUUUCCCUUUCCCUUCUCCCUUUCACCUUUCCCUUUUCUUUCACCAGCCCAGCCUCUACAUUUGUGUAUUGCUGAGAAUGAGAUAGAUCCUUCUACCCCAGUUCACCAGCGUUGGGAUUACAGGUGUAUGCUACCACAUCAGGCCCUUCCUGUCAUGAUUUCUGACUCGUGGAGCAGGAAACCAAUUUUAACCCUGAUGGACAAUCUUCUGUUGUUUCACUUACCCCUUCUAUAGUUUUUCCCGUUCUUUGUUACCUUAUGCAGCUCUUGAAUAGACAGGAAACCUAUUUUUCCCUAGAGAAUAUUCUAGUAACACUCCUAGAUCUUCUCAUAUUUGCCUGAGAGCUAGCACUUGUCAGUUAGAUGUGCUGGCUUACGCCUUGAUGGCCAGCUUUCAGGGGGCUGAGACAGGAAGAUUUCUCAGAAUUAGAAGCCAGCCUGGUUAAAGUGUGAAAACAAGACUUUUUAAAAAGCUGUACUUGAUUUUCAACCUAAUGUAUUUGGAAAGCUAACAGUUUCUUAAUCCUGCCUCUGUUUUAAUGAUGGAUAUGUAUCGGUAUGGAUAAUAAAAGCAUAAUAUGGGA